rnacentral:rRNA from 1 species
AUUGAACGCUAGCGGGAUGCCUUACACAUGAAAGUCGAACGGAGUGGCGAACGGGUGAGUAAUGUAUCGGAACGUGCCCAGUAGCGGGGGAUAACUACGCGAAAGCGUAGCUAAUACCGCAUACUAUUGGAGCCGCCGCUAUCGGUUUCGCUAGUUGAAGGGGCAACGGCUCACCAAGGCGACGAUCCGUAGCCGGUUUGAGAGGACGACCAGCCAAACAGCGACUGGGACACGGCCCAGACGCCUGCGGGGGACAGGAGUUGGGAAUAUCGGACAAUGCGGGAAACCCUGAUCCAGCCAUACCGCGAAUGCGAUGAACACCUGCGGGUUGUAAAGCACUUUCGGCAGGAGAGCGGUACCUGAAGAAUAAGCAACGGCUAACUACGUGCCAGCAGCCGCGGUAAUUC